ACCAGGAUGGCCGAGUGRUUAAGGCGUUGGACUUAAGAUCCAAUGAAUGGACACAUGUCCUCGUGGGUUCAAACCCCWCUCCUGGUA